rnacentral:rRNA from 1 species
UAAGGAAUAUUGGUCAAUAGAGGAAACUCUGAACCAGCCAUGCCGCGUGGAGGAUGAAGGUCCUCUGGAUUGUAAACUUCUUUUAUAUGGGACGAAAAAGGGACUUUCUAGUUCAACUGACGGUACCAUAUGAAUAAGCACCGGCUAACUCCGUGCCAGCAGCCGCGGUAAUACGGAGGGUGCAAGCGUUAUCCGGAUUCACUGGGUUUAAAGGGAGCGUAGGUGGGUUGGUAAGUCAGAGGUGAAAUCUCCGAGCUUAACUCGGAAACUGCCUUUGAUACUAUCAGUCUUGAAUAUUGUGGAGGUUAGCGGAAUAUGUCAUGUAGCGGUGAAAUGCUUAGAUAUGACAUAGAACACCAAUUGCGAAGGCAGCUGGCUACACAUAUAUUGACACUGAGGCACGAAAGCGUGGGGAUCAAACA